GAACAGGAUAAUUACAGAGACAUUAGUGGAAUUAUUUGGCUAUAAAACAAAGACUUUUCGGAUGAUCUUCCAUGAAAGAGAGAAAAGUCCACUCAACUAAGUCUAAUAAAGUCUACAUUCUAGUUUUGCUUUUCCCUUUCCUUGCCAUUUGCUGUGGUUAAGUUUCCACAAUCGAAAAUUAGCACUUUUACUCAAAGGAGGGCUUUGCCUACAGCAUCACUGUGUCAGCAACUCAAUCAAGAAACAAACAGUGUCUGGAUUCUUGAUGGCAAACCAUGAAGAUCACAAAUAUGCUUUUCAUGUCUCUGGCCCUCAGAACUUGCCUUCCCUUAAUUGGAGAAACAACUUCAAAUCCACUUGGAAGGAUGAAUAUUAUAAACAAGCUGCCAUAUCCUGCUUUACACGGGCAGCUUACGCACUCGAAGUUGAUAGACAAGAUAACAGAACACAAGAGAAUGCUUUGGCUCCAAAGUGGUUGAUUCCCUUCAAGUACAAGCUCACAAAGACAUUGAUUGAUGAAAGAGAUGGAUCCAUUUUCGGAGCAAUAUUCGAAUGGGAUCGAUCUGCAGCAUUGGAAGACUCGGUGCUAAUUAGGCCUCUUGGUAACCCCAAAGCUGUUUUAGCACUCAGAGGAACAUUAACCAAAAGGCAUACAAUAAGGAGAGAUUUAGAAGAUAACCUUCGCUUUCUCUUCUUAGAAAGCUUGAAGGGGUCUUCUAGGUUCAGAGUAGCUAUGGAUGCAUUAAGAUCACUUUGUGAUGAAUAUGGAAGCCGGAAUGUGAUUAUUGCAGGACAUUCCUUGGGUGCUGCAUUUGCUCUUCAAUUGCGAAAGGAACUAGCACAAGAAGGGAUUUAUGUUGAAGCAUAUUUGUUUAAUCCACCUUCUGUUUCACUAGCCUUGAGUCUUGAAAAUACUAGAGAAUAUGCAGAAUAUGUGUGGAACAUGCUUAAAUCUAUGCUUGUGUCAAAUAGCAAAGUUGAAAUCAGCAAUGAUGAAGAGAAGAGUGCUAGAUUACAAUUGAUCAGUAGGAUACCUUAUCUAUCUGGCUUGAUGGAUUCUAGUUUUCGGGUGGACAAAUUUGUUCCUCAUCUGUAUGUCAAUGAAAAUGACUUGAUUUGCAGCUUUUAUGUUGAUCCUGAUGGUAGCAUAGGAGUGAAGAACACCGAAAAGGACAAUACAAGCUCUGCGGAUGGAGACAUUGCGGCGAAGUUGUAUGUUGUUUCAAAAGAAAAUCAGAAAUUUCUUGAGGCUCAUGGCCUAGAUCAAUGGUGGUCAAGUGAUGCUCACAGCACUAGACUCAUGAGGAGGCAACUUAGAUCUUUAGAUGCUGCUUCGUUUUUAAAAGUAACAUGUUUACUUUAUCCGAAAUCUAUUUCGCUAUUAAGGAAUAAUCUUCAGUAUAUUGUAUGCUUGGAGAAUUGGACACCUCAGUUAUCUUGCUUGAAGGAUUCUUUCUUUUCAGUUCCUACAGAGUUUUUUGUUGUCUACAAGGAAAAACUGAAAUUUCUUGUGGCUCACGGCUUGGAACAAUGGUGGCCAAGUGAUGCAGAACUUCAACAGGCUAUUCAUAAUGGCAAACUCACAAGUCAGCAACUUAGAUUUUUAUAUGCUAUCUCACCCAAGGAAGUUUAUCGUUUAUUCGAUCCAUCUUCUGUUUUGCUUUCAAUGAGUCUCAGUGGUAUUGCAGAAAAGGCAGAAUUUCUUUGGUAUUGGAAUAGUAUUCAUCAUAUGUUUUGCUCGAGUGGCCAAAUUCAAGUCAGCCAAAUUUGGAAUAGAUUCAAAUCAUUGUUUCCUUCAAAUACAAAGGCUCGAAUCGCCAACAAUGCAGACAAGAUUCUUCUGUUGUCUGGUUUGAAGGAUUCUGUUUCCGGAGCAGCCAAAUGGGUUCAUCAUCUGUAUGGUGUAGGAGAGAAGAUGAUUUACAAGGAGAACAUUGAUGUUACAAAUGCUCAAACACCAGAAGAUUUCUUCAUUGUCUCCAAGGAGAAACUGAAAUUUCUUGGGGUUCAUGGAGUUGAACAAUGGUUUUCAAGUGAUGCAGAAUUUCAGAAAGCUAUCCAUAGUAGCAAAUUCAUAAGUCAACAACUUCGGUAUCUAUAUUCGAGUUCUUGCGAAUUAGCACAUUUGUUUAAUCCAAGACUUCAAGACAGCAAUAAUGCAGAGAAGACUUCAAGUGUAAGUUCUCGAGUGGCGAAAUCAGUUCCUGUCAUAGAAGAGAAUAUGGUUGAUAGGGAGAGUAUUGAUGCGGCAAAGUUGUUUUUCGCCUUCAAGGAGAAACAGAAAUUUCAUGGCCUGGAACAAUGGAGGUCAAAGGAUGCAGAGAAUGGGAAACUUGAUGUGCAAGUAACAAAUUUGUUCAAUCCACCUUCUAUUACCCUGGCCAAGAAUCUCAUAAAGGCUUGUGGCUUAGAGAAAUGCUGGUCGAGUGAUGCAGUUCUUCGACUCGCUAUCCAUAACAGCAGAUUCUUGAGCAAAUUUAGAUCUUCACAAUCAACUCAUGGAAAGCCAUGGUAACAUUGGAUUUACUCUGAUAUGGUUUGUAUAAUGACAUGUUUUAAUUACCAAGAAUUUCAAAAAAUGAAGGAAUCUUUGUUCUUGAGAAGCAGGGGAUAAAUUGUUCAAUUGUCUUUGUUCUUGAGAAGCUUUUCCUUCUACUUUGAAUAGUGGAGCCAUCCUUCUUUGUUUAUAUGGUUCCUCACAGUACCAUUCCCGGUGAUGUUGAUGACAUAACUCAUUUCACAGAUUUAUCAAGAAAGAUUCUAAUAGCAUCCUCUCACUUAUUCCAACCAUCAGCCUCACAACUCUACAGUGCAAUUGAGUUGAAGGAAGCAGGAGUGAAGAUUGAGGUAAACAAAAAUAGUAAAUGCUUACUGGACUUGGAAAUUUCAGGUCAUACUCUCAGAAUUCCAUUUACUAGAUUUCGAGCAAUGCCAUUGUAUCAGUCAAUCCUAUCUUUUUCUUGGAUUUUCUUAUCAACACAGAAAGGAAUAAUUGAGAAUUGGUUAGGUGAUAGCAAUGCAGUGGCUACUAUGUUCAAACCUUCGAUCCUUAAUAGCUUGAUGUUAACACAUAUUCCACUUAAUUUAAUUCAUGAUGGAUUAUUAUUUA